CGAAAUCUGCUAGGUUUGAGUCUUCCUGCAUCACUUCACACAUACCAUUGGCUUUGCAACCCAGUGAUGAUCUCUUUUUCCUUAUUGCUACAUACCAGGGACUUACAUUCAUACUUACAAUGUUUCAAAGGCCUAUACAUACACACAAACGAACACAUGAACUCGCUCAACUUUUGUUGAUAUUUUUCAAACUACAUGUAUUUCAGGGAAUUUAUAAGUGGAUCUGGCGGGCGUUGGAAGUUUUUAUGUUGCGUUAAGAAUAAAGCUGUCAUCCAUGGUCUUUGAUUUGGUUAAUGUGUCUUAUUCCUGGACGAGACACGUCUUCCAAACCUUGGUGUUACUCAAUAACUUUUUGACGAGUCUAACUCAUAAUCAAUUUGUAAGAUUUGUAAAACUUGAACCUGAAGUCUAUGUUUUAAAACGAUGUUGUUAUGUUUUACACUUAUGUAAUGGAUGACAAACCUAUGUUUUUAUCAUAUAGCAUUGUUAUGAUUGAUUACUAUGGUAUUAAGUAAUCACACCAAUAACCCACGCUUCCGCAAAAGUCAGGGGUGACAAAGAAUUUGGAUGACAAGCUGUUGGAAUGUAAAGCUAAACUAGACAGUCUUGACUCGUUGGUACAACAACCCCUUCCAUAGGCUAAUUAAGAUGAGUUAAGUUUUAAGGAUAUAGCUUUUCCUAUAAUACUUGAGAUUAGCUCGUUAAAGAUUACAAGACUAUGAACUUAGUUAGAGUGAUGACACACUUUAUAAUUAUUGACUUAUAUUAAAAUUUUCCUUCCUUUAUUUUCCUUGUAAUGUCUCAAAAGUUUUCUGAGUACAAAGUAUACAAUAAUUAGCAACCGAAUUCAAUAUGUCGCAUUGAUUAGUUUUUAUACACGAACCGUCCAUGUUUUGUUGGAAUCAAAGGGUUUUUUUUUUCAUUUUUUUGUUAAAAUAAAAAUUAAGAGACUCAAAUGAAACAAAUAUGAAACUUGAUUUUUAUUUUCAAUUAUAAGCUAAAAAACCCUUGAUUCCAACAAAACAUGGACAGUUCAUCUGUAAAAACUAAUCAAUACAACAUAUUGAAUUCGGUUGCUAAUUAUUGUAUACUUUGUACUCAGAACACUUUUGAGACAUUACAAGAAAAAUAAAGCAAGGGAAAUUUUAAUAUAAGUCAACAAUUAUAAUAAUAUAAUAAGUGUGUCAUCACUCUAAAUAAGUCCAUAGUCUUAUGAUCUUUAACAAGCUAAUCUCAAGUAUUAUAGGAAAAACUAUAUCCUUAAAACUUAACUCAUCUUCAGGGGCGGAACUAGAGGGAGGUCAAGAGGGUCCGCUGACCCCCAUGACAUAGAAAUUUGUGAGAUUUUUAUAUGUAAAAUAUGAGAUUUUUCUAGGAAAAAACAUGUUUUAGACUCUCUAGUUGUAGCCGGUAGAAAAGGGAAGCUUAUGAUGACCCCCUGACAGAGAAGUUCUGGUUCCGCCACUGCUCAUGUUAAUUAGCCUAUAGAAGAUAGAAGGGGUGGUUGGAGAAGCCUUUACAAAACAUGCAGAGAAAGAGGGUGCUGGGAGAUGGAGAGAAUGUUUAUGUCUGUGAUUUCAGGUAAUCAAUGUUGAAGCACAAGUAUUAGUAGAUGUUCAAGCAAUUGAGCAGGUUCAAGUGAUUUCAUCAAGUUUUUGUGACUUCAGUUUUCAAAUAUUAUCGUUUUCCAGAUUGAUCAACUUUUGGUGAUUUCAAGAUAGGUGUGUUUCAUGGCAAGGUCGUUUAGAGUACCUGGGGAUCAGCUUGGGAACCAAAGUCAUGGUUUCGGAUGGCCUUAUGGCCCCGUGGCGUUUGUUACACCAUUUAGUUUAGUUUUCCUGUAAAGAUCCCUGCAGUCCAGCUGAUAGGAGCUCUUUACUGUUGGCCUUAAUUGUGUGAUCAAAGUUUGACUAGAAGUGCAAGGGUUGAUUAUGCACUAGUUUAAAGUUAUUUAGACGGCGGUUACAAGGCGGUUAUAAAGUUCGGGGGGGUGAUUAUGUCAUUUCAGAAGUUUGUAACCACCACUCAAGAAAUCGAUGUGUCUCUUGGAGACACACCUCUAGAUCGACGGCCACAAGGAAGACAAGAAGAGACGUGACUUUUGGAUCAAGAGACGUAACUCUUCAGAAUCAUUCUCAACCACAUGUUUUAGCGACGUGACUAUUCGUGAAAGGACACGACUCUACACUCGCACCCAUUGAAGUCUAUAAAUAGUUUAGUUUUAGUUUGUAUUUUAGUAAUCUGGAAUCUUGUAUCUUGCAUCUUGUA